GGCCUGUUGGUCAAGCGGUGAAGACGGCACCCUCUCACGGUGCAAUCAGGGGUUCGAUUCCCCUACGGGUCACCA
rnacentral:tRNA from 5 species